rnacentral:rRNA from 1 species
UACGUAGGGGGCAAGCGUUGUCCGGAUUUAUUGGGCGUAAAGAGCGUGUAGGCGGCUUUACAGGUCCGUUGUGAAAACUCGAGGCUUAACCUCGAGCUGUCGGCGGAAACCAUCUGGCUAGAGUCCGGAAGAGGAGAAUGGAAUUCCCGGUGUAGCGGUGAAAUGCGCAGAUAUCGGGAAGAACACCCGUGGCGAAGGCGGUUCUCUGGGACGGUACUGACGCUGAGACGCGAAAGCGUGGGGAGCGAACAGG